GUGAAAUUGUUGAAAGGGAAACGAUUGAAGUCAGUCGUGUUCAUUGGAUUCAGCUAGUUCUUCUAGUCUACUUCCUUUGAACGGGUCAACAUCAGUUUUGUCCGGUGGAUAAAGGAUUUAGGAAUGUGACUCCCUCGGGAGUGUUAUAGCCUAGGUUCACAUACACUGGGUGAGACUGAGGACUGCAGCUCGCCUUUUGGCCGGGGUUCGCCCACGUUCGAGCUUAGGAUGUUGACAUAAUGGCUUUAAACGACCCGUCUUGAAACACGGACCAAGGAGUC
rnacentral:rRNA from 1 species